rnacentral:rRNA from 1 species
GUGCCAGCAGCCGCGGUAAUACGUAGGGGGCAAGCGUUGUCCGGAUUUAUUGGGCGUAAAGAGCGUGUAGGCGGCCAUACAGGUCCGUUGUGAAAACUGGAGGCUUAACCUCCAGACGUCGAUGGAAACCGUAUGGCUAGAGUCCGGAAGAGGAGAGUGGAAUUCCUGGUGUAGCGGUGAAAUGCGCAGAUAUCAGGAAGAACACCCGUGGCGAAGGCGGCUCUCUGGGACGGUACUGACGCUGAGACGCGAAAGCGUGGGGAGCGAACAGGAUUAGAUACCCUGGUAGUCC